rnacentral:lncRNA from 1 species
UUCAUUAGCUUAUGCCUCUUAAGCCAAUCUAAUGAAAAUAGCCUAAGUUUUUCAUUAGUCUUUUUCUUUGAUUCAAAAUCAGCCCCCCUUUUUAUAUUAACGUGAUUGCUCUGCUUAAUAAUUAUAGCCAGUCAGCAUCAUCUCUGCAAAGAAUCAUAUAUAUGAAAAAAUUACAUAUUUCUCUAUUAAUCUUUCUACAAAUGUUUUUAAUGAUAAAAUUUACUGCUACAGAAUUCUAUUUUAUAUGCUCUUUGAAGCAACACUAAUAGCAACACUAAUCGUCAUUACCUGAUGAGGAAAUCAAACAGAAUGAUUAAAUACAGGACUCUUAUUUCCUGUUCUAUACACUGGCUCCCUGCUCCUACUCAUAGCACUAAUUUAUAUCCAAAACUCCAUAGGCUUAUUAAACUUCUUAGUAGCCUCCUACUGAAUUCAAGCACUACUACCAAGCCCCUGAUCUAAUAGCCUUUUAUGGUUAGCAUAUAUAAUAGCAUUUAUAGUAAACAUACCCCUUUAGGCCUUCACCUCUGAUUACCAAAAGCACAGGUACAAGCCCCAGUUGCUGUGCCCAUGGUUCUUGCAGUCAUAUUAUGAAAAUUAGGGGACUAUGGCAUAAUACAAAUUACUGUGAUUUAAAAUCCACUAACAGAAUUUAUAGCUUACCCAUUUCUUAUACUAUCCUUGUGAGAAAUAGCAAACUGUAUUUGUUUAUGCCAAACGGACUUAAAGUCACUCAUGGUAUAUUCAUCCAAAAGUCAUAUGGCACUCGUAGUUGUAGUUGUUCUUAUCCGAACACCAUGAAGUUUUAUAGGAGCAAUAGCCCCAAUAAUUGCCCAUGGCCUCACCUCAUCCAUAUUAUUCUGCAUCAAGUUAUGAAUGAAUUCAUAGCUGAACCAUGCUAUUAGCUCGAGGACUACAGACACUAUUACCUCUCGUAGCUAACAUGAGUACUAGCUAGCCUAACUAACCUAGCCCUAUCACCAGCCAUCAACUUAGAGAGUUAUUUGUAGUUAUAGCAUCAUUCUCAUUAUCUCAUUUUACCAUUGCCGUAGUAAAAUUUAGUAUAUUUAUUAUGGCCUUAUAUUCUCUCUAUAUGUUAAUCAUAACAUAAUUAGGAAAAUUUAUGUAUCACAUUAAUAAUAUCAAACCAGAGUGAGAUCCUAUCUAUAUCUAUAUCUAUUUGCAAAAUAAUAUACUCUUCUCACUUAACCCAAAAAUCAUUCUAGGACCCAUAUAC